GAAACUCUCAACCAGCUCUCCUCUCCAACUUACAAAUGGAACAAAGACAGUGGAGAGAAGAGAGAGCAGAAGAGAGAUUCCUGUAAACAUCACACACUUUCACGCAGAUGACUUUCUGAAACUCUCUGACCUUCUAAAUAAGCAUCUGUGAAUUUUCUUAGCAUUUGAAAAGGUGAACGGCAAAGUUUUACGAACACCAGAUGAGUUCAUCUAUCUGGGAAGCAUUGUCACAAACAAUGGAGGAGCAGGUACAGACAUCAAGAAUUGACUCACUAAAGCUAGAAUGCUGGAGAAUGACAGAAGAUGACCUUAACAAAUUAUCCAUCUUCCACACAAAGAGCUUACAAAGAAUUCUGAGAAUAUUCUGGCCAAACAAGAUUUCAAAUGAGGAACUGCUACGUAAAUGCAAACAAGAAA